CCCAGAUAUCCGAGUGUAAGUGAAUGCAGCAUCGGCUUCUGCACUAUGAGCAUCAUGUUAGCAAAGAAAGAGGCACCGCAGAAAACAAUUUUUCGGUGAAAGAAAAUGAGGAGAGAAUAAAUGUCCCGGGCAAACCAGAAGAAUAGGAAGAAUGAAAAGAUCUCAAAAUUGAGAAUUUCUUCCUGGAGAAGGCUAAAAUACAACCAGAAGCAGAGAGCAAUGUCAGGGAAAGGUGGACUGUCAGCAGUCAUCAUUGUCAUUGAGUUCUACAAAUGAAGGUCCCAAUUGUCAUGGUCCGCAGUGGUUGGCUGAAAUUUCCAUUAGGCUCCUGAGCCUACCUGGGAUCCGCCCCUGGGGAGGACCACCUCCUCCAGUUCCUGCGCACCUGGAGCCGAUUGCAGGCAAUCAAGCCAAAGUGAUUUAAGCCUCACCCUGAUGUUCAUUCACUGCCAGUUUGUUUCAUUGCGUUUGUCCUUGCCACAGUUCCAAGCCUAAGCCUAACUAAUAAAAUAUUGUUAAACCGCCUGCUGUCUCUUGGCCAUCUGCUGCGACUGGUUGGGAUGAGGGGAGGAAGACAGGAUAAAGACACACUGUGGAAGAGAGCAAGAGAUUAAUAAUAACUAAUGAUUAAAUGUAGAGAGGUGUGUAAUCAUGUAGCGAGUAAAAAAGAAACGCACACAAAGAAACAAAUGGCUCAUAAUUCACUGACAAGAAAGCAUCAGAAAAUGAAUGAUCGGAAGACAAAGGCCAUUUUUUCUCUGUGUGUACAGCUGGAAGUUGUUACAGCUCAGUUUCUCC
ensembl:lncRNA